AGUGAACGUUGGCGGCAGGCCUAACACAUGCAAGUCGAACGGCAGCACAGUGGAGCUUGCUCCAUGGGUGGCGAGUGGCGGACGGGUGAGGAAUACAUCGGAAUCUGCCCAGUCGUGGGGGAUAACAUAGGGAAACUUAUGCUAAUACCGCAUACGACCUACGGGUGAAAGCGGGGGAUCGCAAGACCUCGCGCGAUUGGAUGAGCCGAUGUCCGAUUAGCUAGUUGGCGGGGUAAUGGCCCACCAAGGCGACGAUCGGUAGCUGGUCUGGGGGGAUUAUCAGCCACCCGGGAACUGAGACACGGUCCAGACUCCUCGGGGAGGCAGCAGUGGGGAAUAUUGGACAAUGGGCGCAAGCCUGAUCCAGCCAUGCCGCGUGGGUGAAGAGGCCUUCGGGUUGUAAAGCCCUUUUGUCCGGAAAGAAAAGCCUCGGAUUAAUACCCUGGGGUGAUGACGGUACCGGAAGAAUAAGCACCGGCUAACUUCGUGCCAGCCGCCGCAGUAACAC
rnacentral:rRNA from 1 species